AGCGAACGCUGGCGGCGUGCUUAACACAUGCAAGUCGAGGGAGAACGGAGGGCUUCGGCCUUCCUAGUAAACCGGCGCACGGGUGAGUAACACGUAGGUAACCUACCUCCGAGUUCGGGAUAACCUGUCGAAAGAUAGGCUAAUACCGGAUAAGACCACGAUGGUUUCGGCCAUUGCGGUCAAAGAUGGCCUCUAUUUAUAUGCUAUCGCUUGGGGAUGGGCCUGCGCACCAUUAGCUAGUUGGUGAGGUAACGGCUCACCAAGGCUACG
rnacentral:rRNA from 1 species